CCUACGGGAGGCAGCAGUGGGGAAUUUUGGACAAUGGGCGCAAGCCUGAUCCAGCAAUGCCGCGUGAGUGAAGAAGGCCUUCGGGUUGUAAAGCUCUUUUGUCAGGGAAGAAACGGUGGGGGCUAAUAUCUCCUGCUAAUGACGGUACCUGAAGAAUAAGCACCGGCUAACUACGUGCCAGCAGCCGCGGUAAUACGUAGGGUGCAAGCGUUAAUCGGAAUUACUGGGCGUAAAGCGUGCGCAGGCGGUUUUGUAAGUUUGUCGUGAAAUCCCCGGGCUCAACCUGGGAAUGGCGAUGAAGACUGCAAGGCUAGAAUCUGGCAGAGGGGGGUAGAAUUCCACGUGUAGCAGUGAAAUGCGUAGAGAUGUGGAGGAACACCGAUGGCGAAGGCAGCCCCCUGGGUCAAGAUUGACGCUCAUGCACGAAAGCGUGGGGAGCAAACAGGAUUAGAUACCCUGGUAGUCCACGCCCUAAACGAUGUCUACUAGUUGUCGGGUUUUAAUUAACUUGGUAACGCAGCUAACGCGUGAAGUAGACCGCCUGGGGAGUACGGUCGCAAAGAUUAAAACUUCAAAAGGAAUUGACGGGCUUGAGACGNGCCGACGGACGACGACGAGGGGAGGAGG
rnacentral:rRNA from 1 species